UGACUGCACUAUGGAUCAGGUUGGGGAAUAAAGAAAAAGAUCUUUUACCUCUCGGCUGCUGUAGAAAAUAUCAGGUUUUGGGGUAUUUGAAGCCUGCCCUCGAUGGAGUUCUCAUCGGCUGCUUCUCUAGUUAUUCUCAAGUGAUAUUUUGGUGUAGAGCUUGACCAGGUUCAGUGUUUCUUUGGACAGUGCAUGUGAGCCAGCAAAGUAUAUGUGCAUGGGAGCCACGUUGAGUUGCUCCUGCAGUGCUGCUGUGCUGGCAUGCCCCAGAAUUCAUGUUCACCAAGUUGUGGUCGAGUUCCAUAUGCCUACCUACAUAAUCAGUGAUGCCUGCCCAUAUAUAUACAACCCUUUGGUUGGGUUCAGUGAAGGUUUCCUCCCUGCUCACGAAUUCUGUCCAAAGAUAACUGAAGGGUGUUGUGGCGCAUGUGUUCCUGCUAGUAUUAAUCUUCUCCCCAGUCCCUAGAUCGAUUUGCUUAAGCUGGUAUGUGCCACCCCCUGUGCUGGUGACCACGCGUGCAGUUCUCCCACCUCGCCAUGGCUCGGACGUCCUUAGGAGUUGCUGGCCCGUAUGAAGCUUGUUCCGUAAUCAUCUCAGAGCUCCCAAAAUAAAGAGCGAAGAUUCAAGAUGAAGUGGUUGCUAAAGAGGACUCUACUCCAAUGCCUGCUCAUCAAGUGGAUGGAGCCAUCUAACUGGGGUUUAAUAGAGGGAUUUAGACCUCCGUCUCCGCAACAAAGGCAAGCCCCGAUGUAUUUACCCCUUCAUUGUAUUUUUAAAAAGACUUUUAUACACUUAAGUCUAGUCAAAUGUGCAUUAAGUUUAUAGGAAUUGCUUGGAAACUAUUUGAUGCAUUGACUACCUUGAUAUCCAUGCCUUUAUAGAUACUUUGAUGAAGUAUCAAAAUAUGAUUUACAAAAAUGCUUAGCCCUGCUUAGAUCUUGUGGAUAGAGGUUGUCUUUUGCAAUAAUGCCUAGCUCAAGGGUUAUCCUGAGGAAGGAUGGCUUCUACCUGCAAGAAUAUUUUCAUUGGGAGCAUAUGGUGGGAUCUUACUGCAAAGUUCUCCAUAAUGCUCUUUUCAUCCUUAGGAACACAAAACAAUCCUAAGGGUGGAAGUACUUAGCUCUAGACUUGGGAUUGGAACAGGUGAUGCUCCACCCAGGUUAAUUAAGGAUUGGAUGCGUAAGUAGGCCUGCAUGAUCAAGGACUAUCUUAACUGACCACAUGCCCUGGAUAUGGGAAGGGUAAGCUUGAACCCGGCUAUUCCAUACGUGAAAAGACAACCGCACACUGGGUAUGGGAGAUGGUGGGAGUAGCAUGUACCCUCCUGGCUAGAGGCUGGACAGAGGAGUAUUGUGCUCCCGGGUAGAGCGGAUCGGUUCACAUUGUGGAGGAUCUGUGGGAAUCGUUGACAUAUGCAAGGGUUAAGUGCUACAUAUGUGGUGUGGUUAGAGAUCCUCAACUGUGGAGACUUGAUCUCUGACCUGCAACCUAGGUCAGGAUGUAAACAUUAUGAAUAAAAAUGAUGUUGUAUUGAUGAGAUGGUGAAAUUAGACUAGAUGCAACCAGAGUCUAUUAAUAUUUAAUCUGGCGUUAAAAUAUUGAAAGUAAGGACUCACUUUAAUAAGCUAUUUCCGCAGAAGUAUCUAAGUUGAUUCUUGCUAAAGCCUUUUCCUUGAUUCCUAUUUAACCAGCAUAUCCUUGAGAGUCAUUUUUCCUUAGUCGGGUAAGACUGCGAAAGUACACUUCGUACUCAGGGUUUUCGAACCCAUGUUGUUGUAGGUGUUGAGGAGUACUCAAAGUGAUUCGGAGGCUGGACGGCAUUUCCAGUACUGGGGGAGGAUUAGUUAGGCUUGUGUAUAAGCUUUGGAGGGUUCCUACCUUCCUGCUAUUGUAAUAAGUUAUGCACUUUAUAUAUAUCAGGACUUGUAAUAAAUGUAACUCUUCCUAUGUAAUAACCUUCAUUUUUAGAAAUGAAAACAAUGUUUUGUAAA